rnacentral:rRNA from 1 species
CGGGGUGAGUAACGCGUGGGUAACCUGCCCUGUACAGGGGGGAGUAACAGUCAGAAAUGACUGCUAAUACCGCAUAAGACCACAGUGUCGCAUGGCACAGGGGUCAAAGGAUUUAUCCGCUGAAAGAUGGGCUCGCGUCCGAUUAGCUAGAUGGUGAGGUAACGGCCCACCAUGGCGACGAUCGGUAGCCGGACUGAGAGGUUGAACGGCCACAUUGGGACUGAGACACGGCCCAGACUCCUACGGGAGGCAGCAUG